ACAUUUUGGUUUUCCCCCAAAGUCAAUUUCCCAAUUUCAAAUUAGGUUUCACCAAAAUCAGUUUUCCUCCCCAAUCGUUUGAUAUUCUCUCCUUCCUAAUCUUCUAUCAAUUUCGUUCCCCAAAUUGCGAUAACUGUUCUCUUCCCCUCUGUCUGAUUUCCGAGCAGCAACAAAUCACCACUAUUGUUCAAGUCGUACCUUCCUAUUAGUUGUUGCAGUUCGUUUGUGUUUCCAUAAGUGGGGUUACCGUUUAUCCUCUGUUUUGUUUGCGAAGCUAGUUUCACACUAGGGGUUGUGAUGGGUUAGGAAGUCAAGUUGCAGAUAAUCAGUAAACUAUUCGAGUAUAUUGGAAGUAAUUUUGAUCAUUUGAUUAAGCCACAUGCUGAGUUUAUAUGCCAGAGCAUGUUAUGACUUUCUUGCUUGCUGAACUGGGUACAAGUGGAUCCCUUGACGGGCAGCAAAGACCGGUAGUGAAGGGUAGAUUUGCACCGGAAAAAUUUGAAGGAAUUCUCAUUGGAUAUAUGAGUAUGUUAUCUGCAAUGGUUGCAAGAGCCUGGAUACAAUUCUUUUGAAGAAGAACCAUCUUUUCUUCGUCAGGUAAAAGAUGUUGGUUUUUUGUCUAUCUGUUAGGUGUUCGGCCCAUGAGCGGGAUUUGGUGUUGUAUCACUUGAUAUCAUGAAAAGCUUUGGAGCUAAGUUUAAAGAUAGUGAAUUCUCACCCAAAAGAACGUUUAGACUCUUUGUGUAAACAUUUAGAAUUUGGAAUAUGGUACUUAUUACAUAAUGUUUUGCUAACAUUUGGAAUAUGUUUUGGAUCGAACUUAUUAUUGAAGUUAUAAUAUUAUGAUUUCUACAUUUACAUUUUUA